rnacentral:rRNA from 1 species
GAGUUUGAUCCUGGCUCAGGAUGAACGCUGGCGGCGUGCCUAACACAUGCAAGUCGAGCGGAGCAAUCUUGAUGAAGUUUUCGGAUGGAAUCAGGAUUGACUUAGCGGCGGACGGGUGAGUAACACGUGGAUAACCUGCCUUAUACUGGGGGAUAACAGCCAGAAAUGGCUGCUAAUACCGCAUAAGCGCACGGCGCCGCAUGGCGCAGUGUGAAAAACUCCGGUGGUAUAAGAUGGAUCCGCGCCUGAUUAGCUAGUUGGCGGGGCAGCGGCCCACCAAGGCGACGAUCAGUAGCCGGCCUGAGAGGGCGACCGGCCACAUUGGGACUGAGACACGGCCCAAACUCCUACGGGAGGCAGCAGUGGGGAAUAUUGCACAAUGGGGGGAACCCUGAUGCAGCGACGCCGCGUGAGUGAAGAAGUAUUUCGGUAUGUAAAGCUCUAUCAGCAGGGAAGAAGAUGACGGUACCUGACUAAGAAGCCCCGGCUAACUACGUGCCAGCAGCCGCGGUAAUACGUAAGGGGCAAGCGUUAUCCGGAUUUACUGGGUGUAAAGGGAGCGUAAACAGCAGGGCAAGUCUGGAGUGGAAACCCGGGGCCCAACCGCGGGAACUGCUUUGGAAACUGCCAUGCUAGAAUGCUUGAAAAAGAUAACGGAAUUCCUCAGUGUAGCCGUUGAAGUGCGCAGAACUUAUGGA